GAUGAACGCUGGCGGCGUGCCUAACACAUGCAAGUCGGACGGAGUCGUUUUGGAAAUCUCUUCGGAGAUGGAAUUCUCGACUUAGUGGCGGACGGGUGAGUAACGCGUGAGCAAUCUGCCUUUAAGAGGGGGAUAACAGUCGGAAACGGCUGCUAAUACCGCAUAAAGCAUUAAAUUCGCAUGUUUUUGAUGCCAAAGGAGCAAUCCGCUUUUAGAUGAGCUCGCGUCUGAUUAGCUAGUUGGCGGGGUAACGGCCCACCAAGGCGACGAUCAGUAGCCGGACUGAGAGGUUGAACGGCCACAUUGGGACUGAGACACGGCCCAGACUCCUACGGGAGGCAGCAGUGGGGAAUAUUGCGCAAUGGGGGAAACCCUGACGCAGCAACGCCGCGUGAUUGAAGAAGGCCUUCGGGUUGUAAAGAUCUUUAAUCAGGGACGAAACAAAUGACGGUACCUGAAGAAUAAGCUCCGGCUAACUACGUG
rnacentral:rRNA from 1 species